rnacentral:lncRNA from 1 species
GGUAGGAUCGAGAUCUAUCGAUUGAUCCACCAGCGACAGUUAGGAGAGUAGACGACGGAGAGUUAGGAGCUUUAUGUAAGUUUUUUUAACUAUUUUUUUAUUGAUAUUUUGAUUUUCAAUAUAAAUUUGGAAUAGCUAUAAUUUUAAUUUUUAGGAUCACAUGAUAGGGAUUAGAUCCCAGCCUACCCUUAAAGAUUUACCGCACCCAC